GACGAACGCUGGCGGCGUGCUUAACACAUGCAAGUCGAACGGAAAGGCCCUGCUUUUGUGGGGUGCUCGAGUGGCGAACGGGUGAGUAACACGUGAGUAACCUGCCCUUGACUUUGGGAUAACUUCAGGAAACUGGGGCUAAUACCGGAUAGGAGCUCCUGCUGCAUGGUGGGGGUUGGAAAGUUUCGGCGGUUGGGGAUGGACUCGCGGCUUAUCAGCUUGUUGGUGGGGUAGUGGCUUACCAAGGCUUUGACGGGUAGCCGGCCUGAGAGGGUGACCGGCCACAUUGGGACUGAGAUACGGCCCAGACUCCUACGGGAGGCAGCAGUGGGGAAUAUUGCACAAUGGGCGGAAGCCUGAUGCAGCAACGCCGCGUGCGGGAUGACGGCCUUCGGGUUGUAAACCGCUUUCGCCUGUGACGAAGCGUGAGUGACGGUAAUGGGUAAAGAAGCACCGGCUAACUACGUGCCAGCAGCCGCGGUGAUACGUAGGGUGCGAGCGUUGUCCGGAUUUAUUGGGCGUAAAGGGCUCGUAGGUGGUUGAUCGCGUCGGAAGUGUAAUCUUGGGGCUUAACCCUGAGCGUGCUUUCGAUACGGGUUGACUUGAGGAAGGUAGGGGAGAAUGGAAUUCCUGGUGGAGCGGUGGAAUGCGCAGAUAUCAGGAGGAACACCAGUGGCGAAGGCGGUUCUCUGGGCCUUUCCUGACGCUGAGGAGCGAAAGCGUGGGGAGCGAACAGGCUUAGAUACCCUGGUAGUCCACGCUGUAAACGGUGGGUACUAGGUGUGGGGUCCAUUCCACGGGUUCCGUGCCGUAGCUAACGCUUUAAGUACCCCGCCUGGGGAGUACGGCCGCAAGGCUAAAACUCAAAGGAAUUGACGGGGCCCCGCACAAGCGGCGGAGCAUGCGGAUUAAUUCGAUGCAACGCGUAGAACCUUACCUGGGUUUGACAUGGAUCGGGAGCGCUCAGAGAUGGGUGUGCCUCUUUUGGGGUCGGUUCACAGGUGGUGCAUGGCUGUCGUCAGCUCGUGUCGUGAGAUGUUGGGUUAAGUCCCGCAACGAGCGCAACCCUUGUUCACUGUUGCCAGCACGUUAUGGUGGGGACUCAGUGGAGACCGCCGGGGUCAACUCGGAGGAAGGUGGGGAUGACGUCAAGUCAUCAUGCCCCUUAUGUCCAGGGCUUCACGCAUGCUACAAUGGCUGGUACAGAGAGUGGCGAGCCUGUGAGGGCGAGCGAAUCUCGGAAAGCCGGUCUCAGUUCGGAUUGGGGUCUGCAACUCGACCUCAUGAAGUCGGAGUCGCUAAUAAUCGCAGAUCAGCAACGCUGCGGUGAAUACGUUCCCGGG
rnacentral:rRNA from 1 species